AAUGAAUUCCAAACUUCUCCUUAUUUUUCUUCCGAUUUGAAUUCUAUCCCUAUCACUAUUUGACAUAUCCUAACUCCUUUCUUAUGUAUAUCUGUCUAUUUCUCUUUUUCUUCCACUUUGUCUAAUAUGGGGGGGAUGAGACGUCACUAUUUCCACUACUCACUAACUUUUCUCUCCUUUCCUUCAGUUCCUAAUCCGUUGUGUACACUAAAAAUUACUAGCAAUAAUUUAAUUCAUCUAUUAAUUACUUUAAAUUUUUUUAGAAUCCGUCUGCAAUUUAACGGGCAACGAUGUUACGACUGACGAUGUUCCGCAUAACCCGGACAGCCAAAUUGGAUUUCGCCUCAACUCACUCUGGCUGCGCAUGUGCCACUCUUUACUCGGCCAUAGGUCCACUACUGAUUGGAGAUUUUUUUAUCACUUCGGAAGAGUUUCGCAGGAAGAAAUUCAGAAAUGUCCCCUGUGGCUUCAAGGAUCUCCACCCUGAUGGUAGGCCCUCGGUCCAAACAGCUGGUUUCCGUUUCUGUUUCCUGUUUUCUUCGCUUCCGUCUAUACUUGCAACUGCUGGGCAUCGAUGCUACACCUCAUAAACAGUGUACAUGGACCACACCAAUUACAAACACAGACAACAGAUUUAGAUAAGUUAUUACAAAUUUACUUUACUUUAGACAACAUAUUAAAAAGACAAUUGUUUAUUUUUUUCAGACACAUUCUAGUCUGUCUUCCUUUCACCUCAAGGACUGGGCUCAGCAACAAGGACUUCCCAGAAUUUUCCCCUCUGUGGCUACGAUGGGUCUGGCCUACUUCGCCUGCCCACGGUCCAAAUAGAUGGUUUCUGAGAUCUUAUUUACUGGCCUUUACCCUGCGUGAUCCCAGGGGGGGAACAACCACAAAUAUCCCGCGCAGCAGGCACGACAAAAAAAACAAAACGGAAUUUUUUUGAACUUGGACAACGAAUUUGUACACAACGGAAAUAUAGGAAUAUCCUGACUGGACUACCUCGCCAAAUUGGCAGCCCUCGGAGUCCCUCCCAACCAUGAGUGCAUCCUCGUUUAAGUUUCGGACACAUCUCCCAAUUGUUGUUUUAAUGGAAACAUUUUAUAUCAUCUCACCCCCCACUUGAAGAAUCUAUUCACUUAAGUUCAUUUUUAUACCCUUGCAGAGCAAAAGGGUAUUAUAAUUUCAGUCAGAAGUUUGCAACGCAGUGAAGG